AACGAACGCUGGCGGCAUGCCUAACACAUGCAAGUCGAACGAGCCCUUCGGGUCUAGGCGCGCACGGGUGCGUAACGCGUGGGAACCUUCACUUAGGUUCGGAAUAACUCCCCGAAAGGGGUGCUAAUACCGGAUAAUGUCUUCGGACCAAAGAUUUAUCGCCCUUGGAUGGGCCCGCGUUGGAUUAGCUCGUUGGUAGGGUAAAAGCCUACCAAGGCGACGCUCCAUAGCUGGUCUGAGAGGAUGAUCAGCCACACUGGGACUGAGACACGGCCCAGACUCCUACGGGAGGCAGCAGUGGGGAAUAUUGGACAAUGGGCGAAAGCCUGAUCCAGCAAUGCCGGGUGAGUGAUGAAGGCCGUAGGGUUGUAAAGCUCUUUUAACCGGGAUGAUAAUGACAGUACCGAGAGAAUAAGCUCCGGCUAACUCCGUG
rnacentral:rRNA from 1 species